AUUGAACGCUGGCGGCAGGCCUAACACAUGCAAGUCGAACGAGUGGCGGACGGGUGAGUAAUGUCUGGGAAACUGCCUGAUGGAGGGGGAUAACUACUGGAAAUGGUAGCUAAUACCGCAUACUAUCGGAUGUGCCCAGAUGGGAUUAGCUAGCAGGUGGGGUAACGGCUUACCUAGGCGACGAUCCCUAGCUGGUCUGAGAGGAUGACCAGCCACACUGGAACUGAGACACGGUCCAGACUCCUACGGGAGGCAGCAGUGGAGAAUAUUGCGCGAUGGGCGCAAGCCUAAUGCAGCCAUGCCGCGUGUAUGAAGAAGGCCUUCGGGUUGUAAAGUACUUUCAGCGGGGAGGCGUUACCCGCAGAAGAAGCACCGGCUAACUCCGUGCCAGCAGCCGCGGUAAUUC
rnacentral:rRNA from 1 species